ACCUACGGGGGGCAGCAGUGAGGAAUAUUGGUCAAUGGCCGAGAGGCUGAACCAGCCAAGUCGCGUGAGGGAAGACGGCCCUACGGGUUGUAAACCUCUUUUGUCGGGGAGCAAAGAGAGUCACGUGUGACUCAUUGAGAGUACCUGAAGAAAAAGCAUCGGCUAACUCCGUGCCAGCAGCCGCGGUAAUACGGAGGAUGCGAGCGUUAUCCGGAUUUAUUGGGUUUAAAGGGUGCGCAGGCGGAGGUGCAAGUCAGCGGUCAAAUUGCGGGGCUCAACCCCGUACUGCCGUUGAAACUGCAUCC
rnacentral:rRNA from 1 species